CUAGAUAGGUAUGUUACAUAUCAGCUGACCAGUGACCAGAUCUUACAGCUCCUAGAUAGGUAUGUUACAGAUCAGCUGACCAGUGACCAGAUCUUACAGCUCCUAGAUAGGUAUGUUACAUAUCAGCUGACCAGUGACCAGAGGAUCUUACAGCUCCUAGAUAGGUAUGUUACAUAUCAGCUGACCAGUGAUCAGAUCUUACAGCUCCUAGAUAGGUAUGUUACAGAUCAGCUGACCAGUGACCAGAUCAUAUACUGUAAUAUGGUAAACUGAUGCCCAACUGCACAGUCAAUGAGGUGGCACGCAACCAUUGGUUGAUGCAAUGCAAUGCCUGCACAUCUAUUUGGGCAGGAUCUCGACCACCACUUCCUCCCAAAACAGCCCUAGAGCUCUACCCCAUUCUUGGAGCAUGCAGGUCCCUAGUCUAGUCAUGUGAUGUGUUUCCUGGGAAAGCAGAGGGAGAAAGAGAAAAUGUUUAGUUCAAACUGAACCAAAACCAUUCUACUAAUUAAUCCACAAAGCCGUCAAGGUUUUAUGCCCUUUAAAACAGCCCUUUCACCCUUCAAUGGACUGAUUUUGGACAGGGCAUCUGUCUGUAUUCACUCUCACAUUUCUUCUCCUCUCCUCUCUUCACUCUCACCCCUCGUUCCUCCUCUCCUCUCAUCUCUUGUUCCUCAUCUCCUCUCUUCACA
ensembl:lncRNA